GCAGGCUUAACACAUGCAAGUCGAGCGGGCAUAGCAAUAUGUCAGCGGCAGACGGGUGAGUAACGCGUGGGAACGUACCUUUUGGUUCGGAACAACACAGGGAAACUUGUGCUAAUACCGGAUAAGCCCUUACGGGGAAAGAUUUAUCGCCGAAAGAUCGGCCCGCGUCUGAUUAGCUAGUUGGUGAGGUAAUGGCUCACCAAGGCGACGAUCAGUAGCUGGUCUGAGAGGAUGAUCAGCCACAUUGGGACUGAGACACGGCCCAAAC
rnacentral:rRNA from 1 species